ACCAAAAAGGCAGAGUAGGCCGAACUAACACUCAAUACAAUCCAUUACUACUACAACUUUUCGAAAAUAUAUUUGAGCCUACCGCUUCUCAUCCGUCUUAUUUGGAGUAUCUUCCUUUAGAACCGUCUUCAACUUUUCGUUUUGGACUUGACUUUCGAGCUUUCCUGACAAAUAAGCCUUCUUUAACCGAUCACAAGACCAUAUUCCUUUGUGUCAUUGGCGGAAUUACUUUUGACGAAAUUCGGCAUCUUCGUGCCAUUACUGACCAAUUUCCCGCCUUUAAAGUUAUCAUUGGCAGUACGAGAAUAGCUACGCAUGAAAAUACGCUCUCCUCCGUUCUAACGCCUU